AUUCUUGGGUGUGGGACAGCCAGGAGAUGGUUGACCUGCCAGGUUAUACUGUUAAAAAGACUCUGCAUCCUCAAUGCCAGCGGCCUGCUACCAAUCAGCAGUAGCUCUGCAGCUAGGACUGGGGCUUCUUGCUUCACCUCCACCCUGCUUCCUGCUCUAUCCAGUGAUUCUCAACCCUGCAUGCUAGGUAUGUGUUGGGGGAUCAAGGGAUAAUCCAGAUAGAGAACAAGCAUUAUUUUGCUUCUUCAGUGGGCUACUUGAAGGACUUAGGCACAUCACUCUUCAUGCUGCUCAGCUCACGGCUGAAGCUUUACAAAGAUGGCUCCCAGGUCCUCAUCUUUUACUUGUCUCUCAAGACUGAGCUGUGCGCUUUCUGCUCUGUGGGCAAGCUAUGCUUUCUGAAACAUACAGUUCCAUGAGAGGCCAGGUUCAUAGUAUCUCUCUGGGGCUGGAACGUUGUGGGUGGGUGUGUAAGCUCCCUUCACAAACACUCCCUGUCUCUAAAACAAGUUUACACACAACUCCAGGUUAAACUAUAUGGAGGCAAUCUUCAUUUAUACAGAGACAAACUAAUGCAGCCUCAACCUGACACUUCAAACAGGAUUAGGGACAUUAUGCAGAAUGUAAAGAACACGACACACACGUUAACCGAACAGAUUUAAUUUCCCUGAGAUUUUACCCCAUAAAAUGAUAUAAACACCACUGACCAGACCAGUGGUUGCCCAAGUUUUCUGUGUAAGCAAAUCUCCUACACGCUCUUCAAAGUGACCCUCAGCAGGAAUAUGCUGGGGCUGGAGCAUAAGCGUAUCCCAGGACGUGAUGGUCUAAGGACCGCACUUUGAACAAGACACCAGCUAAAAUGAGAUGAGAGCAACUGUUUACCAAAUAAGAAGGCAGAGCAGAAAAACAACCAUCACAUUAACAAAUCCCCAAAGCCACUAAUACAGGGUAACAAGUGUUUCUCUAGAUACUGGUGGACCUGGGUUGUCAGUAUCUCCACGUGUCUUAUCAAUUUUAAAGUCUGUUUGUUUCACUUAAAAAAUAAAGUGCUAUGGUUUUAAGAAUACAAACAUGGCUUUGAUCAGCAUUUGAAAGAAAAGUCCACUGUCUUUGAGAGUAUAGCCUUGGUAGAAACACUUCUGAAACCUUACUUCAUGACAUCAUACCAUCAGUCCAAUCAUGGUCUCUCUGAGGCUCAUCUCCGUGACAUUCAGAUGCUGUGUGAGGACAUGGCACUGGUGCCAUGCUUUGGUCCUUUAAGAGUUCUUAGCGCCUGUGUUAAAUUCACAGUGGAAACAACUUAAAAGUGGAUUGGUUUUCUCACAGCCAGAGAGGAAAGGGAUGGCAUUCAAGCUAGACUUCCAACAGUCAUAAAUAUUUGAGUUUAUCACACAUACAACAUCUAAAACUAUGAAAACACCCUUUUUUUCUGAUUUAUAAAUAGACAUUAGAGUUAUGAAAAUUUAGUGCAUUGAAGAACCACUCACAAUUACAUGUGUGUUAGGUUGAAAAUGGGCAUCACACACUUAAGAAAUAGUCAAGAGGAUUAUACGGAAUGUGGAUUUUCGGUCUGUGAUCCCAAAAGGUGGGGGACUCUGGAGGGGUUCUCCAAAGCCAAAAGUGACUGAGUCCCAAAGAGGAGAGAAGGCAGUCCUCAAAGUUUUUUGUUCCUGGUGCAGUCUGACCCCUGAGAGGAGGGAAAGAUGCUGUACCCCAAUUGCACUCAGUAGGUUUAGGGGUCAUGUACAGUUAACUAUUUAUUAAAAACAGUGUAGUCUGCAAUUUUUACUUUAAUCAAAACUAUCAUGUGUCAGUGCUCCUCUCCCCUCCAUGAGAAAUGGCUACCGGGGCUUUAAAGCCCUCAGGUCUGAAUUCAGCGAGGUCUGUGUAUCUGAAUGUCAGGGGAUAAGGGCUCAGCAUCUGAUGUUACCAGGGUUUAAAUAAAGCAGAUGCGUGGUUGGUCUCUGGGAUUUGGGCAGAGAAACUGCUUGGCUUCUGGGGUUAUGGAGAGGUGCAUUCAAGACAGGUGACCAGUCCAUGAUUAACACAGAGGCUUCUCUCCACAUUCCUUCUCCUACCUCUCUUAGCAUGCUGCCUUUCCCUAAGAGCAAAUGUUAACUCUACUGUGCCCAGGUGGGAAGAGAAGCCUCUCAGGCAAGCUUCUGACACAGGGCAGCGCUAUGCUCAGUCUAAACUUCCUUAUCUGCGGCUGACUUCUGAUGGGUCUGCUGGCAUGCCUGUGCAGACGAGGACCCGGCUCAGCCAUGUGGGAAUAACUACACUUGGACCACCCACUGUCUCUGAAGUGCCCAUCUUUGACCCAGAGUUACCUGAUUCUACAUCUGCUUCUCCAAGUGGUCCCAAUCCUACUCCUGUUUGAGUCUCUCACUCCCGUCCCCACUGAUGGGAGGUCUGUUUAGAGUCAUGAUUAAAAUAGCCACCAGGGCUAAAGCAGCACCCAGGCUUGGGGGGCCACAGGGACUGAUCUCCUGAGCCACUCCAGAGAGAAGAGGGGCAAGGAUGCGGCCCACCGCAGUCACGGACUGGCCCACACCUAUGACGGUGCCGCUGGCCUGGGCUCCACCCACACUCAGCUGGAGGUCCGUGAUGCAGGUUCUCCCAAUGGUGGUGGAGAAGGACAGAAGCGUCGAGGAGAAGACCACCAUGGCCAUGGAGUAGGUCGUGGAGUAGACCACCAGCAGCAGACAGCAAUAAAACCCUAAGAAAUCUGCUAUGUAGUGCUAUGGGCAAGAGAAAGAUGCCCUCACCUAUCCAUUGCCCUCGCCUCCUGCAGUGGGUGGGAGAGCUGGCCCUGCCCCUCACCUGCUGCAGCAUUCAGAAGAGUGGACCCUGCACUUUAUCUGGCCAGCACCAUAGAGUUGGCCCUGUAACUGCAGAAAUACAUGAAGCCUUUUAGCCGGAUGACAAAGCUAGUUGGAGAAUGUCGGAGUCACCGCCUGUGGCUUCAUCAGCCUGUCUGCUCUUCUUUCUCUUUCUACAGUUUGGAGCAUCCCUAACUUGAAUGUUAGGGAGAUUUAACAUUUUUAAAAGAUGUAUUAUUAUUUUAUGUGUGAUAAGAUAAAAUAAAAUAAAAUAAAAUAAUAUAAAAUAACACAUAGGACACUGUAUUCCCUGGAGACGGAGCCACAGGCAGUUGUGAGCUGUGCUGUGGUGCUAAGAACUGAACCUGGGUCCUCUGAAAGAGCAGAGAGGGCUCUCAACUGCUGAGCCCUCUCUUCAGUACAUGCCAAUUUAGUGUCUUAAAAGCCUG
ensembl:antisense Gm37915 predicted gene, 37915